CUCCAGAGUACCCUGAGCGAAAUUCGCCU
rnacentral:sRNA from 1 species